UUUAAGUGCAACCAUAAGUUUCUGAGUCUAACUUUUAAUCAUCCGUCUUAUUUAAAUUUUUUUAUUAUUAGUAUUUUUUAUUGUUAUAAGAUGAUAAAAUAUGAAUAGUAUUUUAUACAUGACUUAUGUUUUCAAACUUUUUUUAAUAAAAUUUAAAUAAGACGAACGAAGAGUUAGGCACGGAAAAAUAUAGCUGCACUUAAA
rfam:Oryza rufipogon genomic scaffold, chr02